GCGGCGCUGCUUACCGUGCGAGUCGAACGAUGAAACCGCUUCGGUGGUGGAUUAGUGGCGAACGGGUGAGUAACACGUGGGCAAUCUGCCCUUCACUCUGGGACAAGCCCUGGAAACGGGGUCUAAUACCGGAUAACACUCUGUCCCGCAUGGGACGGGGUUGAAAGCUCCGGCGGUGAAGGAUGAGCCCGCGGCCUAUCAGCUUGUUGGUGGGGUAAUGGCCUACCAAGGCGACGACGGGUAGCCGGCCUGAGAGGGCGACCGGCCACACUGGGACUGAGACACGGCCCAGACUCCUACGGGAGGCAGCAGUGGGGAAUAUUGCACAAUGGGCGAAAGCCUGAUGCAGCGACGCCGCGUGAGGGAUGACGGCCUUCGGGUUGUAAACCUCUUUCAGCAGGGAAGAAGCGAAAGUGACGGUACCUGCAGAAGAAGCGCCGGCUAACUACGUGCCAGCAGCCGC
rnacentral:rRNA from 1 species